UUUUAAGUGUUAUAAACUCAGAAUUUCCAUUUAUUUAAAUUAUUCGCAAUGUCUCUGUUUAAAAAUGAUUGGUCACGCUUGAAAUUCUGCCUUGACAAAAGCGCCGAUUGGCCAAUAUAACACAAGGCGGGAAUUUUUUGUUGAAUUUGCUGAAGACGCAGCACUGACUGCAGGCCACAGUCAUUUGCAGGAUCACCUGAAAGAAGAAAUAAAUAAUAAAGUUUAAAGUUAAAUAGCGGGCCAGCUGCACAAGCAGCCAGACAGGCGUUAAAGCAGGCGGGAAGAGAGUCGUCGUGAAAGACCCAGAGUACGCUGGGACAGUAACAUUAGCAGGCAGGUGGUUAUGAAGCAGACGAGGAGGGGGAAGAGUCGAGGCCUCAGGAGUAACGUUACGCUGGUAAAUUUUGCUUUAUUGUCUGUUAAAGGUUUUAUUUUUUUAUACAAUUGGACAAGGUAUAAAUGCGUUUAAGUUAAAAUCACGUAACUUCCAAACAU